GAUUAUGGCUCAGGAUGAACGCUAGCUACAGGCUUAACACAUGCAAGCCGAGGGGCAGCGGGAAGUCAGCUUGCUGACUUUGCCGGCGACCGGCGCACGGGUGAGUAACACGUAUCCAACCUUCCCGUUACUCUGGAAUAGCCUUUCGAAAGAAAGAUUAAUACCGGAUAGUAUCGAGAGAUUGCAUGAUUACAUGAUUAAAGGUAUUCCGGUAGACGAUGGGGAUGCGUUCCAUUAGA
rnacentral:rRNA from 1 species